rnacentral:rRNA from 1 species
GACGAACGCUGGCGGCGUGCUUAACACAUGCAAGUCGAACGGAAAGGCCCUGCUUUUGUGGGGUGCUCGAGUGGCGAACGGGUGAGUAACACGUGAGUAACCUGCCCUUGGCUUUGGGAUAACUUCAGGAAACUGGGGCUAAUACCGGAUAGGAGCUCCUGCUGCAUGGUGGGGGUUGGAAAGUUUCGGCGGCUGGGGAUGGACUCGCGGCUUAUCAGCUUGUUGGUGGGGUAGUGGCUUACCAAGGCUUUGACGGGUAGCCGGCCUGAGAGGGUGACCGGCCACAUUGGGACUGAGAUACGGCCCAGACUCCUACGGGAGGCAGCAGUGGGGAAUAUUGCACAAUGGGCGGAAGCCUGAUGCAGCAACGCCGCGUGCGGGAUGACGGCCUUCGGGUUGUAAACCGCUUUCGCCUGUGACGAAGCGUGAGUGACGGUAAUGGGUAAAGAAGCACCGGCUAACUACGUG